CACAGGUGUGGAGCGAUCAGAGUCAAAACAGGAAUGUGACGGACCGUUCUCUAUUUGACGAGAUGCGCAACGGUUCGAUGUUGCAGUAUCAUACGAAUAAGAACGCGCCAACCUCUUUGCACCAGGAAUGUUUCCUAAAUCGGAAAGAGUCAAAUUAGUGUUUGACGCAGGGGCUUUCGCCCAGUGUAAGAAAACCAUAUGGAGUGGUGAUUUUGGGAAGAUGUGGGAGAGACAUUGCUGCCCGUGUCGUUGGGUCAACGAAUCGAUCCUCGGGUAGAUGGCCGUGAAAGUUUAGGGUCCGAGGAUGACAAAAUGAGAAACGUUGCAACAGUGGCAUGGUGUGCCGACGUGGAUAUCCGAUAGCGCAAGCUUCUCUGUGGCGCGGAGUUUCCAGGAGCCCUGCGUGGCCAGAUUGCAGGCACGGAAUUGUGAAUGUUGGAAUACGGUCUGGUGUCAUGACCAUUUGCAGUAAAGACACAUUUUUACUCUUCUCCGUCCUCUGGCUUUUUUUGAAUUGCCAAUGCGCCAACAUUAUAGUGAUAGCCUACAG